rnacentral:rRNA from 1 species
AGAUUGAACUGAAGAGUUUGAUCCUGGCUCAGAUUGAACGCUGGCGGCAUGCUUUACACAUGCAAGUCGAACGGCA